AUCAAUUUCCCAAUUUCAAAUUAGGUUUCACCAAAAUCAGUUUUCCCUCCCCAAUCGUUCAAUUUUCCCGCUCCUCCCUAAUCUUCCAUCAAUUCCUUCCCCAAAUUGCGAUAACCUUUCUUUUCCCCUCUGUCUGAUUUCCGUCACAGCAACAAAUCACCAAUGCUAUCCAAGUACCUUCACUCAGGUAACCGUCCACCCUUAGGUUUAAACCGUCACUCAGGUAUAUAUUUGGAAAGAACUCUAGGGAAGAAAAAAUACCAAUGACAACUCUAGUUUUCACUCAAGCAUUUGAUCCCGAGAUGUCGAAAAUGUCGAUCCAAAUCGUUCUUCCAUCCGAAAAAGACAUAAACAGUUUACCGGACCCUAACAAAGAAAACGAUAGUAUACGGAGCGUUGAAGGAGGAUUUGCAGCGGUACUAAAAUUCAGUGGCAAACCAACAGAGGAUAUUGUUAGUGAAAAAGAAAAAUUACCGAGGUCUAGUGUUCUUUCUGACGGUCUCAAACCAAAAGACGGGUGUUUAUAGGCUCGCUACAAUGAUCCUGGUAGAACAAAAAGUUUUAUGAUGCGAAACGAGGUUCUUAUUUGGCUCGAGGAGUUUUCGUUGGACUAGUUCUUAUCAAGUUUGAUAUGUAGCCACUCAUUAAAGUAAGAGGUAUCCACCAAUAUAUAUGUAAUAUUUAUUUGUAUUCCAGAUUUGAAAGGUUAUUAAAGUCAUGUGGAUAUUCCCAAUGCAAUCUUGUCUACGGUUCUUAGCAAUAUAAAUAUAUAGUCCCUAUAUUGGUUCUACAGUCCCAAACAACUUUUUUGUCUAGUAACAAGAUAUUAUCUUCAAGAAGUCACAAUAAUGAUGAUAGAUUUGACAUGUGAAGCAUUGGAGUAAUAGAGAUAAGAAGAUUUAUGGAUUGCUUGGAGCUAAGUUUUUUUUACAGUAUGAUUCCUAUGGGAAAGAACGCUUUGAUUUUUUUUUUUUUGUAAACAUUUGAAAUAUGUUUGAAACUUAUUAUGCAUUUGUUUGCUAACAUUUGUAAUAUGUUUUGGAUCGAACUUAUAAUUGAAGU